CUCCAGAUUGUCCAGUUGCCUAAAUCAACUCAUAGCAUGUAUUUUCCUUUCAAGCCAUCUAGCUGGAAAUGUUGUCUUCCAUAUUGCAUGCAGAAGGAUCCACUUUCACUUCACAGAUUCAUGCUCCUGCUGAGAUAACAGGCAGUCUGGAAGCACUGAGAAAAAAAGAAUUAUGAACACUAUCUUCUACAUGAAUCUGUCUGGUCUCUCCAAAAGUAGAAGACAUGUAUCCAUUAGGAAAUCUUUUCAUGUUUGCGCUAGAAGAUCUUUUAUCUACAAAGAUUUUACCAGCUCAACUAGAUACCAGGCAGGAAGGUUAAAUGCAAAAGGAAAUUGCAGUAGAUCAGUUGGAGUAACAUGGAGCAAGUAUAAGCUGCAAGCAGGAAAUUGUAACAU